AUGGGCGAAAGCCUGAUCCAGCAAUGCCGCGUGUGUGAAGAAGGCCUUCGGGUUGUAAAGCACUUUUGUCCGGAAAGAAAUCCUUGGUUCUAAUAUAGCCGGGGGAUGACGGUACCGGAAGAAUAAGCACCGGCUAACUACGUGCCAGCAGCCGCGGUAAUACGUAGGGUGCGAGCGUUAAUCGGAAUUACUGGGCGUAAAGCGUGCGCAGGCGGUUUGCUAAGACCGAUGUGAAAUCCCCGGGCUCAACCUGGGAACUGCAUUGGUGACUGGCAGGCUAGAGUAUGGCAGAGGGGGGUAGAAUUCCACGUGUAGCAGUGAAAUGCGUAGAGAUGUGGAGGAAUACCGAUGGCGAAGGCAGCCCCCUGGGCCAAUACUGACGCUCAUGCACGAAAGCGUGGGGAGCAAACAGGAUUAGAUACCCUGGUAGUCCACGCCCUAAACGAUGUCAACUAGUUGUUGGGGAUUCAUUUCCUUAGUAACGUAGCUAACGCGUGAAGUUGACCGCCUGGGGAGUACGG
rnacentral:rRNA from 1 species